rnacentral:rRNA from 1 species
CGGCGGACGGGUGAGUAACACGUGAGUAACCUGCCUUAGACAUUGGGAUAGCCUCGGGAAACCGGGAUUAAUACCAAAUGAAAUCACAUAUGCACAUGCAUAAAUGAUCAAAGCUCCGGCGGUCUAAGAUGGACUCGCGUCCCAUUAGCUAGUUGGUGAGGUAACGGCCCACCAAGGCGACGAUGGGUAGCCGGCCUGAGAGGGUGAACGGCCACAUUGGAACUGAGAAACGGUCCAAACUCCUACGGGAGGCAGCAGAU